rnacentral:tRNA from 1 species
GCAUCGGGAAGCGUGCCUGGUGGCACGGCCGGGCUUCAAACCCGGUGGGUGACGUCACGCGUCGCCGGGUGGCUUCGACUCCCACUCCCGUGC